CGCAGGUUCAGGUUAGGAGAACACGCUGCAGGUUAGGAGAACACGCCGCAGGUUAGGAGAACACGCUGCUGGUUAGGAGAACACGCUGCAGGUUAGGAGAACACGCUGCAGGUUCAGGUUAGGAGAACACGCUGCAGGUUCAGGUUAGGAGAACACGCUGCUGGUUCAGGUUAGGAGAACACGCUGCAGGUUAGGAGAACACGCUGCAGGUUCAGGUUAGGAGAACACGCUGCAGGUUAGGAGAACACGCUGCAGGUUCAGGUUAGGAGAACACGCCGCAGGUUAGGAGAACACGCUGCAGGUUAGGAGAACACGCUGCAGGUUAGGAGAACACGCUGCAGGUUCAGGUUAGGAGAACACGCCGCAGGUUAGGAGAACACGCCGCAGGUUAGGAGAACACGCUGCAGGUUAGGAGAACACGCUGCAGGUUAGGAGAACACGCUGCAGGUUAGGAGAACACGCUGCAGGUUAGGAGAACACGCUGCAGGUUCAGGUUAGGAGAACACGCCGCAGGUUAGGAGAACACGCCGCAGGUUCAGGUUAGGAGAACACGCUGCAGGUUAGGAGAACACGCUGCAGGUUAGGAGAACACGCUGCAGGUUAGGAGAACACGCUGCAGGUUAGGAGAACACGCCGCAGGUUCAGGUUAGGAGAACACGCCGCAGGUUAGGAGAACACGCUGCAGGUUAGGAGAACACGCUGCAGGUUCAGGUUAGGAGAACACGCUGCAGGUUAGGAGAACACGCUGCAGGUUAGGAGAACACGCCGCAGGUUAGGAGAACACGCCGCAGGUUAGGAGAACACGCUGCAGGUUAGGAGAACACGCUGCAGGUUAGGAGAACACGCUGCUGGUUUUUGUGUUUGUAUGCCGCGCUCGAUUUAAAAGGCACAACCUUUAGAUUUCUUGGUGUCCGUCAUUGAUUCUUGAAUAAUCUGAUUUAUAUGAAUCUAACACGAUCUUAUCAGACUCAAUGCAUAUUGGUUCACAUCCACAGUUUUUUUUUGUACAGGCCAAUAAAUGGAACAGCCAAAUAGCCAUCAUUAUAAAGGCAAUUUAAGACACAUUUUAAAAAACAUCUUUCAAUAAUUGGUAGUAGGUACCAGGCACACUGGUUUGAAGGUCACGAACUGCAACUCUGUUAGUUUGUCAACAGUUUCCUGUGUAUCAAGAAAGAUCUAACACCCAAAGGACAAAACUGUUGGAAGUAUUGAAGUCGACAUGGACCAGCAUCCCUGUGGAACGCUUUCCACACCUUGUAGAGUUCAUGCCCCUGAAGAAUCGAGGCUGUUCUGAAGGCAAAAGGGGGGUGCAUCUCAAUACUAGGAAGGUGUACUUAAUGUUUUGUUCACUCAGUGUGUCUGCAGAGGUUACAGAAGAUGGAAAUGCUAAAAGUGUCCCACUUUUAUUCUGACUUUACUCAAAUAAAUACUACAAGACAAAAUUAACAGGAAAUAAUACGUCAAGAAUCAGACUGUUGUGCAAAUGGAAUAGACAACUGGUGGAAAUUAUAGGCAAUUAGCAAGACACCCCCAAUAAAGGAGUGGUUCUGCAGGUGGUGACCACAGACCACUUCUCAGUUCCUAUGCUUCCUGGCUGAUGUUUUGGUCACUUUUGAAUGCUGGCGGUGCUUUCACUCUAGUGGUAGCAUGAGACGGAGUCUACAACCCACACAAGUGGCUCAGGUAGUGCAGCUCAUCCAGGAUGGCACAUCAAUGCGAGCUGUGGCAAGAAGGUUUGCUGUGUCUGUCAGCGGUGUCCAGAGCAUGGAGGCGCUACCAGGAGACAGGCCAGUACAUCAGGAGACGUGGAGGAGGCCGUAGGAGGGCAACAACCCAGCAGCAGGACCGCUACCUCCACCUUUGUGCAAGGAGGAGCAGGAGGAGCACUGCCAGAGCCCUGCAAAAUGACC
rnacentral:lncRNA from 1 species